UAGUGAAUCUUCCACAAUGGGCGAAAGCCUGAUGGAGCAACGCCGCGUGUGUGAUGAAGGGUUUCGGCUCGUAAAACACUGUUGUAAGAGAAGAAUGACAUUGAGAGUAACUGUUCAAUGUGUGACGGUAUCUUACCAGAAAGGAACGGCUAAAUACGUGCCCG
rnacentral:rRNA from 1 species